rnacentral:rRNA from 1 species
CAGAUGGGAGCUUGCUCCCUGAUGUUAGCGGCGGACGGGUGAGUAACACGUGGGUAACCUGCCUGUAAGACUGGGAUAACUCCGGGAAACCGGGGCUAAUACCGGAUGGUUGUYUGAACCGCAUGGUUCAGACAUAAAAGGUGGCUUCGGCUACCACUUACAGAUGGACCCGCGGCGCAUUAGCUAGUUGGUGAGGUAACGGCUCACCAAGGCGACGAUGCGUAGCCGACCUGAGAGGGUGAUCGGCCAMACUGGGACUGAGACACGGCCCAGACUCCUACGGGAGGCAGCAGUAGGGAAUCUUCCGCAAUGGACGAAAGUCUGACGGAGCAACGCCGCGUGAGUGAUGAAGGUUUUCGGAUCGUAAAGCUCUGUUGUUAGGGAAGAACAAGUGCCGUUCAAAUAGGGCGGCACCUUGACGGUACCUAACCAGAAAGCCACGGCUAACUACRUGCCAGCAGCCGCGGUAAUACGUAGGUGGCAAGCGUUGUCCGGAAUUAUUGGGCGUAAAGGGCUCGCAGGCGGUUUCUUAAGUCUGAUGUGAAAGCCCCCGGCUCAACCGGGGAGGGUCAUUGGAAACUGGGGAACUUGAGUGCAGAAGAGGAGAGUGGAAUUCCACGUGUAGCGGUGAAAUGCGUAGAGAUGUGGAGGAACACCAGUGGCGAAGGCGACUCUCUGGUCUGUAACUGACGCUGAGGAGCGAAAGCGUGGGGAGCGAACAGGAUUAGAUACSCUGGUAGUCCACGCCGUAAACGAUGAGUGCUAA